AACCUUGCUUCCGUGGGAUUUCUUAA
rnacentral:misc_RNA from 1 species